rnacentral:rRNA from 1 species
AUUGAACGCUGGCGGCAUGCCUUACACAUGCAAGUCGAACGGCAGCGCGGGGCAACCUGGCGGCGAGUGGCGAACGGGUGAGUAAUAUAUCGGAACGUACCCUGGAGUGGGGGAUAACGUAGCGAAAGUUACGCUAAUACCGCAUACGAUCUAAGGAUGAAAGCAGGGACCGCAAGGCCUUGUGCUCCUGGAGCGGCCGAUAUCUGAUUAGCUAGUUGGGGGGUAAAGGGCCUACCAAGGCAUCGAUCAGUAGCUGGUCUGAGAGGACGACCAGCCACACUGGAACUGAGACACGGUCCAGACUCCUACGGGAGGCAGCAGUGGGGAAUUUUGGACAAUGGGCGCAAGCCUGAUCCAGCAAUGCCGCGUGAGUGAAGAAGGCC